AAGAUAUUAUUAAUAAGUG
rnacentral:miRNA from 1 species